rnacentral:rRNA from 1 species
AGUGCACGCUGGCGGUAUGCCUAACACAUGCAAGUCGAACGGCAGCACAGUAAGAGCUUGCUCUUACGGGUGGCGAGUGGCGGACGGGUGAGGAAUACAUCGGAAUCUACUUUUUCGUGGGGGAUAACGUAGGGAAACUUACGCUAAUACCGCAUACGACCUACGGGUGAAAGCAGGGGAUCUUCGGACCUUGCGCGAUUGAAUGAGCCGAUGUCGGAUUAGUUAGUUGGCGGGGUAAAGGCCCACCAAGGCGCCGAUCCGUAGCUGGUCUGAGAGAAUGAUCAGCCACACUGGAAGUGAGACACGGUCCAGAAUCCUACGGGAGGCAGCAGUAGGGAAUAUUGGGCAAUGGGCGCAAGCAUGAUCCAGCCAUACCGCGUGGGUGGAGAAGGCCUUCGGGUUGUAAAGCCGUUUUGUUGGGAAAGAAAAGCAGCAGGUUAAGACCCAGCUGUUCUGACGGUACCCAAAGAAUAAGCACCGGCUAACUUCGUG